rnacentral:rRNA from 1 species
AACGUAGGUGGCAAGCGUUAUCCGGAAUUACUGGGCGUAAAGCGUGCGUAGGCGGUUUGUUAAGUCCGUUGUGAAAGCCCUGGGCUCAACCUGGGAAUUGCAGUGGAUACUGGCGAGCUAGAGUGCGGUAGAGGAUGGUGGAAUUCCCGGUGUAGCGGUGAAAUGCGUAGAGAUCGGGAGGAACACCCGUGGCGAAGGCGGCCAUCUGGACCAGCACUGACGCUGAGGCACGAAAGCGUGGGGAGCAAACAGG